CGUCAAGCCAUCAUGGCCCUUACGGCCAGGGCUACACACGUGCUACAAUGGCGCGUACAGAGGGCUGCAAGCUAGCGAUAGUGAGCGAAUCCCAAAAAGCGCGUCGUAGUCCGGAUCGGAGUCUGCAACUCGACUCCGUGAAGUCGGAAUCGCUAGUAAUCGCAAAUCAGAAUGUUGCGGUGAAUACGUUCCCGGGCCUUGUACACACCGCCCGUCACACCAUGGGAGUGGGUUGCACCAGAAGUAGAUAGCUUAACCUUCGGGAGGGCGUUUACCACGGUGUGAUUCAUGACUGGGGUGAAGUCGUAACA
rnacentral:rRNA from 1 species